UGGGGGAUAUUGCACAAUGGGCGAAAGCCUGAUGCAGCGACGCCGCGUGGGGGAUGAAGGCCUUCGGGUUGUAAACUUCUUUUGCUCUGAACAAGGCGCACCAUGGGGUGUGUUGAGUGUAGGGGUUGAUUAGCGCCGGCUAACUACGUGCCAGCAGCCGCGGUAAUACGUAGGGCGCGAGCGUUGUCCGGAAUUAUUGGGCGUAACGGGCUUGUAGGUGGCUGGUUGCGUCUGUCGUGAAAGCUCAUGGCUUAACUGUGGGUUUGCGGUGGGUACGGGCUGGCUUGAGUGCAGUAGGGGAGGCUGGAAUUCCUGGUGUAGCGGUGGAAUGCGCAGAUAUCAGGAGGAAUACCGGUGGCGAAGGCGGGUCUCUGGGCUGUUACUGACACUGAGGAGCGAAAGCAUGGGGAGCGAACAGG
rnacentral:rRNA from 1 species